UACGUAGGUGGCGAGCGUUGUCCGGAUUUACUGGGCGUAAAGGGCGUGCAGGCGGCCCGUUAAGUGCAUGGUGAAAGCUCCCGGCUCAACUGGGAGAGGUCUGUGUAUACUGGCGGGCUUGAGGGGGGGUAGAGGAAAGUGGAAUUCCCGGUGUAGCGGUGAAAUGCGCAGAUAUCGGGAGGAACACCUAUGGCGAAGGCAGCUCGCUGGGACGUUACUGACGCUGAGACGCGAAAGCGUGGGGAGCAAACAGG
rnacentral:rRNA from 1 species